rnacentral:rRNA from 1 species
UUGACCUCGGAUCAGGUAGGAUUACCCGCUGAACUUAAGCAUAUCAAUAAGCGGAGGAAAAGAAACCAACAGGGAUUGCCUCAGUAACGGCGAGUGAAGCGGCAACAGCUCAGAUUUGGAAUCUGGUCCCUCGGGGCCCGAGUUGUAAUCUGGAGAGGAUGCUUCUGGCGCGGCGCCGUCCGAGUUCCCUGGAACGGGACGCCGGAGAGGGUGAGAGCCCCGUACGGUCGGACGCCUAGCCUGUGUGAAGCUCCUUCGACGAGUCGAGUAGUUUGGGAAUGCUGCUCAAAAUGGGAGGUAAAUUUCUUCUAAAGCUAAAUACCGGCCAGAGACCGAUAGCGCACAAGUAGAGUGAUCGAAAGAUGAAAAGCACUUUGAAAAGAGGGUCAAACAGUACGUGAAAUUGUUGAAAGGGAAGCGCCCGUGGCCAGACUUGUGCCCGGCAGACCAUCCGGCGCCCCCGCGCCGGUGCACUCUGCCGGGCGCAGGCCAGCAUCGGUUUUCCCAGGGGGAUAAAGGCGGCGGGAACGUGGCUCCCUCGGGAGCGUUAUAGCCCGCCGCGUCAUGCCUCUGGGGGGACCGAGGACCGCGCAUUUAUGCAAGGAUGCUGGC